rnacentral:lncRNA from 10 species
CUGGUUAGAGGUUCGCCGGUGACGUGAGCGCCCGAGUUGGGGGAGAGGACCAGAACCACCUGCUGGAGAAAGGGAGCUACGGGGGCCGGGCAGGGUCCAAACGCCUCACGUGGGCGGCGGCGCCACGGUCUUCGGGGUCACAGGGAAGAGAAGGGCUCUCCUCAAGCGGGUGGAAGGAGGGAGGCCUCCCGAGGGAAUGAGACUCCAGGCCACUCCCCCGCAGCAAGGCAGGAUCACCUGCGUCGCGGAGAGCAGUUAGAGGUCCCUGGAGUGGAAAAGGGCAGUGGGACCUGGUAGCUUGGGUUCCCUGCAACUUGGGGUUCGACCUCCAGGCAAUGAAGUAGGGAUGGUCCUGCAAGUCAAGAUUCCAGUAGCAAGAGUGCAUCAGAUCUCUGUAAGGAAAAUAACUAACAUUGCUCAGUUCCCUGUAGAGUUGCAGGGCGCUUUGACGUUAUCUCCCUUGGUUCUCCAUCAGGUCGUAGUGGACUAAUUUUACAGGCGAAGUUAAGUGACUUACCCAAAACCUCACAGCUAAUAAACGGCAGAGCCGGCACCCAGCUGUACUGGCUUCCAGCGCAUCCCAUUAUCUCCAUAAAUCCCCCUGAUUCAACUAAUAUUAGACGCCCCACAGGUAAGAUGCUUCAGAGUUAGAGGGGAGUUGAAGAUACCUUUGCCUUCAAAGAAGUAAGGAAUGAAACAAAGAUAAAACAGACAAUAAAAGACAAACCAUGAUAGGUGCCACGUGAAAAGUGGCAGAGUACUGCCGGGAAUCAAAGAACCGUGUAUAUCUGUCUUGGGGAUAAGGAAAGAAACGCAGCAUGAAGGAGUAGGCAUUUGGGAUUGACCUUGAAGGAGACAGGGAGAGUUUUACAGCAAGAAGGGAUAGCAUGAGAAUAUAUAUGAAGGCGAAUCAGUGAAAGUUGUGUUGGGGAAAGAGCAAAGACUCCAGGUAUGUUGAGAGGUAGAAAAGACAAAGGAGUAUGGGGCCUAAGAUACCAAAUGGAUGAAUUUAUAUUUAAUUCAGUAUUUUGAGUUUUUAUGGUUCAGAAGUUUGGGGGAAGAAAAGGAAGGUUUUUUUUUUCUUUAUGCUAGUGAUUUAUCUGUGAAGGGAAGCAGAAAUCAGAGGUGGAAAAACUGACAGAUCUACUGUAGGCCAGGUAAAAGGUAAUGAUGAGUCUGACCUAAAGGGACAGCCAGGGGAAUUUAAAGAGCAUAGUUGAGAGAUGAUGUGCAUGCAGAAUCUAUAGAAUUUGCUAACUGAUUGAUUAAUUGUGGGUAGGAAGAGAGAAAUCAAAGAAAGUGGAGGUUUUGAGUUUCUAGAUAAUUGCAAGAGAGAAAAGAGACAAUUACAAAGGAAAGGAGAAGGAGCUACUUCUUGAGAGAAGAUCAGUUUAGAUUUAGACAUUUUAAGAAUUCAAAGGGUUGUCAAGACAGCCAGACGGACAUGGACACUAAUAAGUUAGAAAUAAAGGUUUUGUAAUAUGGGAAAGAGGACUGAGCUAGAAAAUAGACUCAUAGAUAAUCAGCCUAGGAGUGAUAUUGCUGUGAGAUAAAAGAAGAAAACAAAGUCAGAAUCUUGGAAAACACCCUCUUCAGAGUCUCGCUGCUCAAAACGUGGUCAGUGGCCCAGCAGCACUGACAUGAGGACCUUAGUUGGAAACUCAGAAUCUCAGGCUCCACCCCAGACCUGCUGAACCAGCAUCUUCAACUUAACAAGAACCCGAAGAGAUUUGUGCCACAUCAAAAAGUUUGAGAAGCUCUGAUCUAGCUGGACCCUGGACACGGUGACUCUGAUUCAAUUAUGCAGAUGACCACAAGCCUCUGGGGUUGGCAGAGCCACAAGAAAGAAGGUGCCUGGAUGAAGGAGAGCUACCCACUGACCUGGACACCCAAUUAUAGGAUAGACAGUGAAGUGCAACUACAGCCCGCAAAUGAAAAUGAAUAAAAUUAAUCCAGCCCCUCAAGGCAGUCAUCUGUCUUAGAGCUAUUGGAAUCCUGGAUCAUUGUGGGAAAUGAAAAAUACUUCGAUGGAAUCAGCAGCCAUUGAUCCAAUGCCAACUCCAAGACUGGAACGUCGCAAUGAUAGUUCCAAGGCGGAAAUUUGACGUAAUUCUUUUCGACACAGUUUUACAGGUGUGACACCAUGAAGUCGUCCCACAUUUCCCACAACCUGAAUUUGGGAUGACAGUCGACUGAGAUUUUGUAAACUGAUUAUCAUCUGUUUCUGUUUUAUUCUCAUUACCUAACAUAUGCCCACUGGGGGGUGCUAAAGAACUAUGAAUUGGAGGUCUGGAUGCCCAUUUUAAUUCUUCUGAAAGCAUGCCUCCUUCUGGCUUCAGGACUCCAUCUCCAGCCUUAUGAUCUAAAAAUAAUCCCCAAACCAAAAAAUUAGAUAUUAUUUCCUCAAAAUUAGGUGUUUUAAUCAAAACAUCUUAACAUAAAUACAUUAUUAUCACCCAAUAUGCAUAAUGUUGUUCAACUUUUUUGUUAAAUGACUUAUUUUAGAUGAACAGAUGUGUGAAUAUGAAUAUUUUUAUUUCACUUACAGGCAUCUUGCAUGUGAAUAACUCACAACUUUAAUUCAUGGAACAAAUUGAGAAAUAGUCUUUUGGGGGUUUGGUACUCCCUGGAAACAUAAGAGUGCUUUGGGCACCUCUGGUGCCUUUCCAUGCCUGCCUUCUCUGCUGUUCUUGCUACUAGUGAAUUCUAAAUCAUGGCCAAGUGAUGCCAGCACUGGAUAAUAUUGGCUCUGCCCCAUAUCUCGAGGGAAAACUCUGGGACUUGGCAUUAUAUGUGUGGGAAUCUGGCCUUGGUUGGCACUCCCAGCAUGAUAGCAGGGUUCUGCUGUCUGAAUGUACUCUGGGGUGUGCGCCACAAUUUCUGUCAUCGAAAUGGAGAUGAGAGAAUAUGCCCUUGGUGGGGACACCCCACUGGAAUUAGAGUGAAGAGAUCAAAGCUAGAGGUUCUUAAAUCAAAGAAUGUCUAAUAGCAAAGACAAAAACUUGCUUAAGAGAAAUGCAUACAGGUACUAGACCUAAUAUGAUGAAAAAUGCUAACUUCAACAUAUUGAUGCAUGCUUAGUAUACUUUUAGUCCUGCAAAGACAAAAGUUUUUUGUUUGUUUUUUUUUGAGACGGAGUCUCGCUCUGUCGCCCAGGUUGGAGUGCAGUGGUGUGAUCUCGGCUUACUGCAAGCUCUGCCUCCUGGGUUCACACCAUUCUCCUGCCUCAGCCUCCGGAGUAGCUGGGACUACAGGCGCCCGCCACCACGCCCGGCUAAUUUUUUGUAUUUUUAGUAGAGAUGGGGUUUCACCGUGUUAGCCAGGAUGGUCUCGAUCUCCUGACCUCAGGUGAUCCGCCUGCCUUGGCCUCCCAAAGUGCUGGGAUUACAGGCAUGAGCCACCGCACCUGGCCCAGUCCUGCCAAGACAAAGUUUUAAAACACAGGUUGCACAUUGGCAGCUCUCAAGCCAAAUCUGGCCCAUAGACAUGGUUUGCUUGGCCUAUAAUGUUAGUAAUACUUGACCCAAGAUUUAAAAUUUGAAAAGUUUCAUAUAAAAAUAUAGAUUUACAGCUUUUCUAGAAAAACUAUAAGAGUUAACAGUUUCUGAAUUGCAACAGCAGCUGGAACACCGUUGCCACUGACCAUUUAGAUGACUGCUGCAGUCCCCACGGCUCACUCUGGUUCAGGUAGGGGUUCUAGUUUGUAACCCCUGGUUUAAAACAUAACUGACUCUCUAGUUUUUAAAAUUCUCUCAAAAUCAAAUAACCUGAACUAGCAAAUGAUCUAGAUCCUCGUACAUGGAACUCAUACUAAGUUGACCACAGACAGUGGCUCCCAAACUCUGCAGUACAUCAGAGUCACUGGGAAGCUUUAAAAAAUCCUGCUCCCUAGCUGGGUGCAGUGGUUUAUGCCUGUAGCCCCAGCUACUUGAGAGGCUGAGGUGGGAGGAUUGCUCAAGCCCAGGAGUUUGAGGCUGCAGUGAGCCAUGAAUGUACCACUACACUCCAGCCUGGGCAACAGAGCAAGACCCCAACUCUAAAAAAAAAUCCUGCUCCCCAGGUGACAGUAUCUGGGGGAAGGAGUAAGGCAUCUUAUUUUCAAAAGAUCAUAAGAAAAGAGGCUCAUUGCUGAGGCUCACUCCGGAGCCCACUUGGAUUCUUCACAAGAAAGUUUCCCUCUUCCAGAAUUUUAUAAUUGAGGGAACCGACUAGGGAAAGAUUAAUUUGCCCAAGGUCAAACAACUAGUAAAAGAAGUAAGGAUUCCAACCCAGAUCUUUUGACUCUAUUAUCCUUACAUAUAGUUUUAUAGUGAUUUAAAUUGAUACAAGGAUAGGUUUAAAUACAAGUAGAAUGCAGGUUCAUAUAAAACUGAUUUUAUCCUCAUGUUAGAAAACAUAUACACUGUAACAGAGGGAUGACCAUCAAGUGACCAAGAUAUUUUAGUCAAAAGAUGAAUUUUUCUGCAAUUGGAGAAUGCCAAAAAUAUUCAAAGAAAAUAUAAGUCUUGUAGGCAGUCUUCUAUCAAAACCCACUGAACCGCUGGGCACGGUGGCUCAUGCCUGUAAUUCCAGCACUUUGGGAGGCCAAGGCUGGUGGAUCACCUGAGGUCAGGAGUUUGAGACCAGCCUGGCCGACAUGGUCUCUACUAAAAAUACAAAAAAUUAGCUGGGCCUGGUGGCGGCACCUGUAAUCCCAGCUACUGAGGAGGCUGAGGCAGGAGAAUUGUUUGAACCUUGGAGGUAGAGGCUGCAGUGAGCUGAGAUAGCACCACUGCACUCCAGCCUGGGUAACAAGAGUGAAACUCCAUUCAAAAACAAAAAACAAACAAAAAAAAAACAAUGCACCAAAUACUAAGUUAUUAACUAGGAUACUGAUUAUUAAGCAUGUAAAACAUUUUAUGGAACUCAGAGUUUGAUGUAAAUUGCUAUAUUUUAUAAUUCAAACAAACCUUGUUUCAUGUCAUUAUAUUAGAGUAGCAUUAUGAGACAGGAUAUAGUGUAAGCUAUAUCCCCAAUAUAAUUGCAACUGUAUAUUUUAAAGCAUGGGGAAAAUAUGAAAAGAAUUAUGCUCAAAUGUGGGUAGGAUUAUAACUGAUUUGUUUUCUUCAUUUUCAGAUUUUUCUAUAAUGACUAUACAUUAUUUUUAUAGUCAAAAAUAGAAGUAUUUUAAAUGUUUCUAGGUAGAAUAGCAAAUUAGCUGAAAUAGUAUCUCCAACGUUAUUAUCAAGACUAGACUCCUUGGGUAAAUUGGUCAGAACAGUGUUGUUCUCAUUUUACACCUCUCCAAGAUUAACUAUGUUUUAGAUUUGUGUGUGUGUUUGGUUAAAGAGCCAGGAUGAAGAUCCAGAGUUCUUAAACCUGUAUACCACCAUACUACAUUGUCAUUUUAAAGAAAUGUCUAGUAGACUCGGUGGCAUAAACAUGGGCCAUUUACAAACUAGAUGUCUAAUAUCAGAUACCUCAAAUUUGACAGUAGACUUUUUUUCAAAGCUAAAGUGGUCUUAUGUUGACUAUUUUGUUUCUUACUUGAUACUUGUUUACUUUUUAAUUUUUGGCAAGUAAUGUUUCAAGUUAAAGUUUUAGCUAUAUAUAGCAGGCAGUAUUUCAAGUAAAUGAGUUACAUCAGUAAACACCUCUGUAUUACUAAACUGAGAAUCAGAAAAUGUAAUCUCUUUGGCAGGAUUCGUAUGUUUGUAUCACGUCUUUAUCCUCAGGCAACUUUUAUCUUGGAAUACUGAACCAGCAGUCAGAAUAUGAGGGACAUUAGACUGUGUUAUAGUUACUGUUCUGUCCUUAAGUCACUUGCCUUCUCUAAGUGUCAGUUGCCUCAUCUGAAAAUGGAGUUAGCAGACCCCAGCCUAUCCUGAGUUUGAGGGCUAAAGGGAAUUAUUCUUGAAAAUGUCUAUACAUGAUAAAUGUCACAAAUAUAACUUAGCAUUUUUUUUUUGAGACAGAGUUUCGCUCUUGUGGCCCAGGUCGGGGUGCAAUGUCGUGAUCUCAGCUCACUGCAACCUCUGCCUCCCGGGUUCAAGCGAUUCUCCUGCCUCAGCCUCCUGAGUAGCUGGGAUUACAGGCAUGCACCACCACACCUGGCUAAUUUUGUAUUUUUUAAUAGAGACGGGGUUUCACCAUGUUGGUCAGGUUGGUCUCGAACUCCUACCCUCCGGUGAUCCACCCGCCUUGGCCUCCCAAAGUGCUGGGAUUACAGGCAUGAGCCACCGCACCUAGCCAAUUCUACUUCUAUUACAUUUUCAGCAUAUAUCACUUCAUUGCUCCUCCAUAUUAUUUUUCACUGGUCUUCUUACAUCUUGUGUGCCCAUAUUUAAGUAGUUUUCUUUCCAGGUAAAAAAUACAUGUGUGCCUAAAAGAUUUUAAAGUCAACUUUUCAUAAACCAUACCUAAAUUAUCAAAGUUAUUAGAAUUAUUAGAAAGUAUUAGCUAAUUCUUUUAUAAAAUGUAGACUUUAUUAUUUUAGAAAUAUUGAUUCCUCUCUAUUCAGCUAUCUUAAAGAGGGUAUAUUUUAAUCAUCGCAAUAUAUUACCUUCAUAGUAUUUUUUACUUUUGCAAAGUAUAUUUUGUCAUGUUAUUUCAUUUAGGAAUGCACUAAAUCUACAUAUCUACAUAUGAUUAUACAAGGAAACAUCUUUGUCUCAAAAAUGGGUUCUAUUACAUUUUUUAAUUUCCAGGGGUCAUGAUAUAUAAAAAGACCUGAUUUAUCUUAAAAAUACAUACUUUUAUUCUUACCUACCAUACAUCUUUUUUUGUGAUAAUCAGAAGGCUUAAUUUACUAUAAAAUAGGAAAACAACAGCUAUGUUAGAUUAUAUAGUUAAUUUAGGGAUUAAAUGAGUUAAGGUCUACAAGCCCCUGGCACAUGGCAGACAAUCAAUAAUUGAUCAUUUCCUUUGCAUCUAUAAAUUUGUUCAUUCACUUCUCAUGUGGUUCUACCUUAGACAACGAUUUUUGUUUACAGAGACAAAUAGAAGUAUCUAAUCCUAAAUAACCCAAUCAAUUGGUAAAGGCUACACUACAAAGCUGGCAUGACUUCACCAAAUGCUAGAGAAACAGUGUUAAGAGUGACAACACUAAAAGUCUUACACUCUGAUGAUGCUAGUUGCCGCCGAAUUGCUUCCCCUACCAGUUCCUUAAGUUUCUUCUUAUGAUCCCGGCUGGUUUUCUUAUAGAAAUAAAGAUCUUUUUCCAACUGCUGGAUUUUAUCUUCAUAUGUUUUGAAAGUUUCCAUAAUGCCUUCUCCAUCUUGUUCUAUACAACAAAAAUUUGCAUUUAAAAUCAGUUUUAAAUAAAUGAUGCAAAAUUAUGUUUUUGUUUGUUUCUUUGUCUUUUUGAAACGGAGUCUUGCACUGUCGCCCAGGCUAGAGUGCAGUGGCGUGAUAUGCUCGGCUCACUGUAAGCUCCGCCACCCAGGUUCACACCAUUCUCCUGCCUCCGCCUCCCAAGUAGCUGGGACUACAGGUGCCCAGCACCACGCCCGGCUAAUUUUUUUGUAUUUUUAGUAGAGACGAGGUUUCAUCAUGUUAGCCAGGAUGGUCUCGAUCUCCUGACCUCGUGAACUGCC